ACUCAACGUUAAUUUAAUUAAAAAGAGUGAGUCAUGGUUGUAAAAGCAGGCUGCUAGUACAAAUUCGUUUGUAUUCGGGCAGAUCCUUGAUCAAUCUGUUAGCUCUAAACUUGUUUUUUGGAGUUU
rnacentral:sRNA from 1 species